rnacentral:rRNA from 1 species
UACGAAGGGUGCAAGCGUUAAUCGGAAUUACUGGGCGUAAAGGGUGCGUAGGUGGUUUCUUAAGUCAGAGGUGAAAGGCUACGGCUCAACCGUAGUAAGCCUUUGAAACUGGGAAACUUGAGUGCAGGAGAGGAGAGUGGAAUUCCUAGUGUAGCGGUGAAAUGCGUAGAUAUUAGGAGGAACACCAGUUGCGAAGGCGACUCUCUGGACUGUAACUGACACUGAGGCACGAAAGCGUGGGGAGCAAACAGGAUUAGAUACCCUGGUAGUCCCUGA